GUCUCGUCCAAUCGAAAAAUUCUUACUCGGUUUAGUAGUGUGUUGGUUGAAUUAAAUUACUUGCUUUAAGUAAAGAACUGUCAAAUAAGUGUAUUUGUAAUAUUAUUUCAGUGACUCGUAGUUAUUAGGAUAUGAAUGUGAUCAUUUUCCUCUUUUACCGUUAAAUGGUGUCUGUAAAAAUGAAAAGUAUUGAAUGGGCCUCGUACUUGACGGCCCAAUGUACGUACCUCAGGCUUUCUCGUCGCCAACCAAAAGAGUUUUUAAUUUAAUUUAAAUUAUCAUAUUUACAUUCGCUGUGAAAUAAAAGUAUUCUCUAGCAUUAGUGUUUAAUUGGAUAAAUGAAUCGUUUCAAAGUUGGUGUCACUGAAUUUGUCCAGCAUCUACCUAACCUAUCAACUGUGGUGAAAUAUAAGUGAAUUUAAUCAAAAGUGCAAACAUUUUUCUACUACAUCCAUUAUUAUUUCGUGGACCAAUAGUCAUUUUAAAAUAUAAAUAAGUACAUGUGAAUCUAAAUUCUUCAGUGCCAAAUUUUUUUAAUCAAACACCAAACCAAUGCAUGGAUAUUGAAAUAUAUAAUUGUAAAGUUAAGUAUUUAUACCAAUGACUAUGAAGAAGUGAUAUUGUUUAUUUUCUGUUUCUGAUAUUCUUCAUCGCACCUAUUGAGUAUUUACAAUUUAGUGAAGAUGUCGGGUACAUUUGUGGAUCGAAUAGACCCAUUUGCAAAGAGAUCACUUAAGAAAAAAAGUAAAAAGUCUCAGGGAUCAUCCCGAUAUAGAAAUUCACAGGA